rnacentral:rRNA from 1 species
AUUGGACGCUGGCGGCAGGCUUAACACAUGCAAGUCGAGCGGAGCGAGGGUGCUUGCACCUUAGCUUAGCGGCGGACGGGUGAGUAAUGCUUAGGAAUCUGCCUAUUAGUGGGGGACAACAUUCCGAAAGGAAUGCUAAUACCGCAUACGCCCUACGGGGGAAAGCAGGGGAUCUUCGGACCUUGCGCUAAUAGAUGAGCCUAAGUCGGAUUAGCUAGUUGGUGGGGUAAAGGCCUACCAAGGCGACGAUCUGUAGCGGGUCUGAGAGGAUGAUCCGCCACACUGGGACUGAGACACGGCCCAGACUCCUACGGGAGGCAGCAGUGGGGAAUAUUGGACAAUGGGCGGAAGCCUGAUCCAGCCAUGCCGCGUGUGUGAGAAGGCCUUUUGGUUGUAAAGCACUUUAAGCGAGGAGGCUACUGAGACUAAUACUCUUGGAUAGUGGACGUUACUCGCAGAAUAAGCACCGGCUAACUCUGUGCCAGCAGCCGCGGUAAAAC